CAAAUUUUACAAUAAUAUAAUAUAUAGUAUGAUACUGAUAAUGUGACAAUAGUUUAAUACUGUGAUAAUACGGUAGAUUGGUCAGCAUUGUGUGGUGGUGGAGGGACAAGUUAAAUGAGUCGGUCGUGACACGAUUUCAAAUUUCGCCUUCGUGGUCUAGUUAUCGCGCCUCGUUGUGUAACCAGUAGAUCUUUAAUCGUGGUUAAUAUAAAUAUAGCUAUUUGAUUUAUACCUGUGCCACAAUGAUAAACCAUUGCUAAUGAAAAAC